rnacentral:lncRNA from 1 species
GACAGGUCUAGAAAAAGUCUAAUACUUUAAGGCUUCAACAUAUAAUAUCGAAGGCAUGGAAUAUCAAGAACCAAAUUCACUUGUCAAAUCAAAUAGCUAGAUAAUGAAAGACGGAUAACAACUAAGUUAGGAAACAACUUCCAACGGAUGAAAUUCAAAUUGUUUGAUGACCUCAAUCCAGCAUGGACUAAACAUAAAGAUGAACCCGAAACAUCAACAGAUUCAACAUAAAAAAACCUAUGGCUUGCCAACGCCAAUCUACAACGAACAUCUCAGCCUCAAGACAUUAACCAAAGUUGCUACUGCUAUAACCAUUACGACACGACAGUAAGGGGAAGAAUCGAGUACUAACUAGUUUUUGGGCAGCAAAACGGGAUAACGAGUUUAUGUCGAGAUGCACCUCCAUCGAAAAUUAGCAUUACCAACUCAGGAACCUCCUCCGAUUGACCGACCAACUUUCAGAAAGAAAAAGGAAAAAGAAAGUUUUCAAUAAGGGAACUAUUUUGAUCUCAAAAUUUUCUUUCCCCUCUUUUAGAAUCCUAAAAUUUCAAACUCCAGAAUUUUCAACCCUAAUUUUCAAAUACCGAAUUUCCCCUAAGUUUUUCCACCCAAGAAUUUCGAACCCAGAGGGGAAAAAAAAGAAAAUCCCCUUUUCCUUCUCUAAAGAGAGCUACUUAUAGAAGAGGAUUGAGGGUUUAUUUUUGAAAUUUAAAAAAUCAGGACCAUAACAAACUGUACCUCUAUUUUCAUUUUCUUGAACGAAAUUCCAAACAGUGGACAAUAGAAAUUGGUAGAAAGGGAAUAAUCUUUAUAAGCCAAUGAAAAUUUUCCAUCUAUGUACCAAUUCGUACUAUGGUACACGAGAUUCAUGGGAUUUGAACGUUAGGGUGAGCCAGCUCACCCAUUGCUAAAAGUUUUUCUUGAAUUUUCGUAACCAACACACGCUAUCUAGGCGGGUCAAAGUUGGUUCGACUUUGGGAAGCUGGUUUUCGCCAAUUUUUGGGUUGAGGAUGACGGGUCGGGUCGAUAUGGAUGGAUUUUGGUUGGAACAUGGUCAUUGAAUUUGGUGGUUUUGAGUUGUUAGGAUGGUUGAGAAUUUUUCUUGUUUAUGUGCAGCUUUGCUGCUUUGGAGGAGACAGGGGGGAGAAAUAAGAGAGUUGGGCCGGUCAGCCGUUCUUUGGGCCUGGGGGUUGGUGUUGUUUUGGUUUGGGCUGGCUGGUGACGGGUUGGGUCAGAUUUGGGGAUUAUUUAAUAACCCCAAUUAAAUCUAAUUGGGUUAUUAGAUAACCCUAAUUAAAUUUAAUUGGGUUAUUAAAUAACCCUAAUUAAAUUUAAUUAGAUUAGAAUAAUCAUAAUUAAAUUUAAUCGGAUUAAAAUAAUCUCAAUUAAGAAAUGAUAACUUUUGGGAUUAAGAUUGAAUUACAAUUUAAACGACUUAUUUAAAUUACAACCAAAUCGAAUGUCUAUUGGUCGAUUGCAUCACAAUUGGGCCAGUUUGAUUUCAAUUUAGGUCAUAUUUUAUUCGUUCGCUAAAUUGAAUCGCAAUCUGACACGAAUCAAGUAACAAAUUAACCUUGAGUUUCUUAAUUUGAUAAAAAUCCAACAAAUAUUCCUCCCAAUAAAAUAUUUUGAGAGCAAAUCAUAUUUAAAACCAAGAUUUUAUCCAUUUGAAUUAAUUUUCAAGUUCAAUCAAUAAAAAUCUAAUUUUGAUAAAAUGUUCAUUUAAAUAACAAAAUUUAUACACUCUCGUAUAUAUAUGAAAAUGCAAAAAAUGUAUAACCGCUAAUUAAAUGAUAAAAUCGAAUUGAAUAAGUAAUUUAAACCAGCGUUUAUUUGAACAAAAUAAUUGUUGUGAUUUUAUUUUAAAAUUGAAGAAACUAGAAAUUAAUUGGAUUUCGGAGGGCAAAAAUUAGGUGUCAACAACUGCCCCCUCCCUUUGGGUAGGGUGGAUGCAAGUAACCCUGGGCAAAGGAAGGUUGACGUUCCUAAUUUGGUUCGACCACCAAUUCGAAUCUGAAAGAGGUUAAUCUUCGCACAGGUUUCAUGGAAUUAUGGCCGAACCUCGAUAUCAGGUUUCCUACAUAUCUUAGGUUUCAUGAGAAUUCAUUCCACUUGUAGUUCAUAAAGCUUGAUUUUAAGCACGAUUUUCAAGAAAAUUCACCAACUAUCAUAGUUUUAGAGUUUUUGAUGAAACCGAGAAGUUGGGGAAUGAAGGGAUUUGGGAGGAAGUUGGAAUGCAGUCAAAUUUUCUACAUACAUUCCAGCCUACAUAUCCCCAAGAUUUCAAGAAAUCAGACUGCUUGUAGUUUGGCUCAAUUGGUAGGAAAAAUAGUCUUUUAUUUCAGACCAUCUUUGGCUCGGAAUGAGUGACAAGUUGAUCAAGUUGCGGAAAAGAGGCUUGUAACCUUUUAACCAUGAAUGUGGGAUCCUUCACAUCCAUAGGCAAGAACUUACCUGGACAUAAUUUUCAAAACUCUAAGUGUGUUGCCACCCGAAUUUGAAAGAAAGAGAAGGUUACCCUCAGCAUGAGUUUAGAAAUGUCCCAAAGGUGAAGCUGAAACCAGAAUAUCCUGAAACACCCACAUGCCUUAUAAUAGGGGUAUGGUUGGAUGGUGGUGGUGAUCAUCCUUUAUCUCCUAUCCAAAGAGUUUGACGUCCCUCUUUAGACUAUGUCCCGUUUUGCUGCUAAGAAAGAGUUCCACGUUGUGUUGUGUCCUAUUUGAAGUCAUCUGCACCUGUGGUUUUGAUUUGAGAUUUUUAUCCUAUCGGAUGCUCUCGACAAUGCUUCAAGUAAAAAGUGUUAGUGCUAAACAUAAUUCACGAAAGAGGUAUGUAGUCUUUUACAAUAUCUCCACGUGAGUUGUGGCCUGAAAAACAGAGUCAUAUCUUCAUGUAUCUGUUUGGAGUGAAAUAAAUGGCAACAACAAAAACAACAACCCUCUUGGUUGUUGUAUAAUUAUGACAUUUGUUGGUUAAAUAUGUCUUCAAAGUGGGGUGACCCUUUUGGACACCGACGAUACUUUAUGCAAAACGGUCCCUACAAUCGUGUAAUCUUGUGAUGGUGUGGCAACCCUUUUGGUUACCUAUAUCACUUGUUGUAUGUUUAAUGAUUAUCUCUCCGGUUAUAGCCGAUGAUCGAUUUAUAAAUUUUCUUUAAAUUGUUAAUCUUUAGAUAAUCUUGCGUAUUAUUUGAUGUUAGAUACAAGGCGACUUACAAAUAUCCUUUGAAUUGCUAGCUUUUAGGUAAUCCUGCACAUUAUCUGACUUUGGAUAAGAGAUGGUUUACAGAUAUCCCUCCAAUCGCUAGCUUUCAGGUGUUCCUGCACAUCAUCCGACCUUGGAUACAAUAUGACUUAUAGAUAAUCUCUCAAGUUGUUAGUCUUUGGGUAAUCCUACACAUAAUCGAUCUUAGAUAUGUCACGGCUUAUAGAACCCUUGGACGUAUCAAUUUUAUAAUCUUGCAUAUUCUUCGGUAAGGAUUUAGUUGCGACUUAUGGAUAACCUUUGAACUAUCGAUUUUUGGGCGAUCUUGCACACUAUCAGGUUAGGAUGUUGUUGUGUCUUACGGAUGAGCUACAAGCUAUCAACUCAUAGGUGAUCCUGCACACUAUCCUAUCAACUCAUUCUUAGAUAGCGACUUAAAGGCGUCCCUUUAAAUCGUGUGCUCUCGAUGCAUUCAAAUACUGGUUCAUAAAAUAAUGAGAUAUCCUUAACGCCAGCGAUGUCUUGUGUGUCAACAGAUAUAUAAUGAUGAUGAUAUCCUUGAUGACAACUUUGUGUCUUGCGUGUCAACAGAUAUAUUGAAUGCUGAUGAUAUCCUCAACACCAGCGUUGUGUCUAGCGUGUCAACAAAUAUUGAAUAAUGAUAUCCUCGAUGCCAGCGUUGUGUCUUGCGUGUUAACAAAUAUUGAAUGAUAAUAUCCUCGAUGCUAGCAUUGUGUCUUACAUGUCAACAGAUAGAUAUAUUGAAUGCUGAUGAUACCCUCGAUGCCAGCGUUGUGUCUAGCGCAUCAACAAAUAUUAAAUGAUGAUGAUAUCCUCGAGCUAGCAUUGUGUCUUGCAUGUCAACAGAUAUAUUAAAUGCUGAUGAUAUCCUCGAUGCCAAUGUUGUAUCUAGCACAUCAAAAGAUAUUGAAUUAUGAUGAUAUUGUCGAUGCCAGCAUUGUGUCUUGCGUGUCAACAUAUAUAUUAAAUGCUGAUGAUAUCCUCGACGCCAACGUUGUGUCUAGCGCGUCAACAGAUAUAUUAAAUUUUGAUGAUAUCCUCGACAACAGUGUUGUGUCUAGCACGUCAACAGAUAUUGAAUAGCCUUCUUGGGCGAUGGUAUAAUAUGGCCCUCUUAGCGAUAAUAUGCAAUAGCCUUUUCGGCAAUGAUAUGCAAUGACCCUCUCGGCAAUGAUAUGUAAUGGCCCUUUCGGCAAAUGACAUGCAAUGGUUCUUCCGGUAAAUUAAAAAUAGUUUCACCUGAAAUCAUUUGUCAGGGUCUUGCUUUCUGCAUGUACCUGUACUCAAGGUAGAUGAUUAGUGGACACAAAGUCGCUUUUGCUAGCGACUAUUUUUUUUUAGAAAAAUUCUAAAUACGAUAUUUGUAAAAAAGACAAGACACUUUUGUUUGUCCUCUAUAAUCUCAAUAAAUAAGAUGGACAAUUCUAAAGGUCGUCAAUAAAUGGGUGUUGAGCCGAUUUUUGGGCUACCAAAAGUACCAUUAUUAAUCCUUAUAUGCUCUGUCAUGGCUAUCGACUUGCUUGGAGAUUUUUCAAAAGAAACGCUCAUUUUUGUGUAUCGAUCCCUGCAUCCACAUAAAAUGAUUAGUUUGAAAGAAACUACUCCGUGUUGACCUCCUACGAUCCUUGAUUUGCCCUCGCCAUCUUUCAGGUACUUCAUCAUGUUGGGACUUCCACCCCUGACUCCCCGUCCUAAUUGAUGUCUAGGCAAUCACUAAGUAAAAGAUUUAUAUAGAUUUUUUGAAAGUACUCUUAAUUUUUUAGAAAAUAGUUUCGAGAGCUCCUGCAAAACUUUGAAAAAUCUCUGCCAGUCAUGUCAUUUGCUAGCUCAAGGACCGUCUUUCUUUUGAUUCUGACAAUGUUUGACGUUUGACGGAGGAUUUUUAGGGAUUCAGGAUUGUCAAGGCUCUCUACCAGAAGUUUUAUCAAAGACGGAGAUUCAAUCUUCUUAGACUUUAUCGCAGGUGACAAUCCUCAAAUCUCAACUUCGACCUCUAGUGUUGGGGAAUUUGAAAUAUAUUUCAAUAUUUGGUAGAGAUUUUGAGGCCUUCCUCAAAAUUUCUUCCCCAUUUUAGAGUUGUUUGAAAUGAUAUCAACACGAGUGAAUCUGAAGUCUUUGUUGGUCUUCAUUCUCUUUAUUUCUCUUGCGAAUUUUUGAGAUUCCUUCUCAAAAAUUCUGCCCCAGUUUCCAUUUCCUGGGGUUAUAUGACCGAGCCGUUGGGGCGCCUACGUAUCCCGUUAAAGCAGAAAUCAGGUCAAACGUAGUUCUGGCUACGCUAGAGAUAUAUAUAAAAAAUCUAAUGGGUUGACCAAAACCGACAUAGGCCACCUACAUAUCUCAUUCUUGAGAAUUCAGGUCAUCACGUAGUUCAUACAUAGAGGGAAAGGAUAAAUUUUUCUAAGGGGCUGACCGAAGCCGACAUAGGCUACCUACGUAUCCCUUUCUUGGGAAUUCAGGUCAAAUGUAGUUCGUACAUAAAGGGAAGGGGUUCUAGGCAAUUACACAUCAUGAAAUUGAUACUAUUAUAAAGGAGAUUACAAAUAAACCAAGAAACAAAAAUUAUAACAUCUUUCAAGCACGAUAUAUCUUUACCGCAUCAGAAUUGAUUGGUUUGGUCCACUCUUGACCAUCCAUUUCAGGUAGGAUUAGGGCUCCUCCAAGUUGGGAUUCUUUUGAUUUUCACAUUCCUCUAUAUCUACUACUAACUGCUCCUUAUCACCUUUUCUGUUCAUCAUUAUUUCUUUUGCUUUGUUCGUCGAACCCUUGACAUGACAUGAUAUUGGCAGGUUUUUAAAUUAUUGCUACCAAAAUAAAUCAUGCUAGAUAAUCAUAUUUAAAAAAAAAAAAUAACUUCUUAAAUAGAGGGAGGCCUUUUGGAAAAUAAAAUAAACUAUGGCUCAUGACCCACACAAAUGUGGGCCCAUGCCUUUUUGAAAGUUGUAAAAGACGAAAAAAAAAUUUGAGACAUAAAAGGGUGGAUCACGAGGCCUCCUUCGGAUCAUCGCCGAUUUUAAAAACUAUUAGUAAUUUCCCCUUUCAUAUACCACGAUGGUUGACAGGUUAUGAGUGGAGUGGAGGUCCAGUUUUGCAAGGCCUCCUCUGAUGCAAUCUUCUUCACCCCACAGGACUUUGGGAAAUCAUCUGGUAGAGCAUUGCAUCCUUUAAACAGAUCUCCUAUCCCAUCCCCAAGACCAUCAUCAUUUGACAUAUCAUGUACGGGAAAUGACUGGUACAAGAGCAACAAGGGUCUAAACAGACCCUCCUUUGAAUUAUCUUCAAUCUCAUCUUCCUUUCUUGGUUGGUAUCCUACUCCACGCUUAAAUUCUCUUUCCAGGACCAUAAUAGGCUCAAUAAUUCCUUCUGAAUUCUUACUCAAGGAAGCCACAACUUUCUCUAUCUUUUCCACUCCUUUUGUCUUUUUGGAGUUUCGUGAAUCCACAUUAGCAAUUGUCUCGCUAGAUACCCAUUCGUCUGCUAUUUCGAUCAUGCUAACCAUGGCUCCCUUGUGAUUAGGUAAUGGGUUAAUAGAAACAUUUAGUGCCGGCGCCUGAAGAGUGAUGAUCUUCUGGUCAAUCAAGUCCUGGAUCUUAUAUUUUAGAUUGAUGCAAUCUUCAGUAUUAUGCUCGGGAGCUCCUGAAUGAUAAGUACAGACUUGAUCGGCAUGAAAGAAUCGAGAAUUGAGAUUGGUAGUCUUUGGUGGAAUAGGCUGUAAAUAAUCGGCCUUCAUCAAUCUUUUGAAGAGAUAGGUACAACUUUCAGCCGAUAAAGUGAAUUUUCUGGGAGGCUUCUUCUCGAAGCUUACACGUGGGUGGUUAUACUAAUUUUGAUUUGCAGGAGGAGGUACUAUCAGCUUCUCGAGGCUUACACGUGGGUGGUUAUACUGAUUUUGAUUUGCAGGAGGAGGUACUUGAUGAUAGUUUGGAGGCACUUGGACAUUUAUUUGAUUGUUUAAAAGAAUAGCUUGAACAUGAGAUUGAUAAUUUGGCUGCGGAAUUUGGCACUAGGGUAAAAUAUUUAAGAUUGGAGCUUGAUAUUGGGGAUGGGCAUAGAAUACAAGCUGAAAAUUUGGUGACAGUGGUGAGGAAAGAAUAUUCCUAGGCUUGAAUUUCCUCUUCAAUUUAUCAACAAAAUCAGUAGAGACCACAUUCAUAUCCUCUCUUUUCUUCUUUAAGAAUGCAGAAGAUUCAGAUGAUGUUGGGGUUUUGGCAAUUUUUCCUGUUUGGGUGCCUUCCUCUAAAGAUUCCCCAUUCUUUACUAAAUCUGCAAAAGUUACUCGGACCACGGAUACCAACCUGGUAUAAUAUUCUCCCUCCUGAGCGCGAGAGAACACAGACACCAUUUCUUCCUCAGACAUGGGAGGUUGUGCUUUGGCAGCUUCUUUUCUCUAACGGAAGGCAUAGUCUCAGAAACACUCAUCAUUCCUCUACUUGAUCCGAUCUAAUAAAUAUCAGUAAGGGACUAUUUCAAUGUUAAAUGCAAACCUAUUAAGGAAACUUUUGGCCAAUGCCCUCCAACUAGUCCAUUUUUCAGUUCUUGAGACAUGAACCAAUCUAAGGCUUCGCCACUUAAGCUUCGGCUGAAUAAGCGCAUCAAUAAUGCCUCAUUUUUUCCUACUCCCACCAUUUGAUCACAAUACCUUCUCAGAUGAGCCAUUGGAUUUCCGAUGCCAUCGAACACUUCAAAUUUAGGGACCUUAUACCCUUCUGGUAGAUCUACUCCAGGGUGAACACAUAAAUCAUCGUAACCUAACCCGUCUUGUUCUCCGCUCUAUGAUAUUCCUUGAUCCUCAUGAUCUCUUCAUUCAUAGCUAGCAACUUUAUUUCAUGCUCGGUCCUCCACUCUUUCUCUUUCUCCUCGUAAUGGUCCACCUCGGGAUUAGGAAGGAAAUUAUAGAUGUUAGGGGAUAUGAUGACAUGAGAAGGAUUUGGAAAGACAGCUUGAUUUUGUAGAUGAAAGGAAGUUGGUAAGUGGGUGGGGAGAACGUUUCGGAAAUUGGAAAAGUUUUAUGGAAUUUGAGAGUACCUUGGUAGGAUCUAGGAGGGAUUCUGCGGAUUCAAAAAUAAAGUUUGUGGGUUUGGAGAUAGAUUUGGCAGAUUUGGUAAAUCUGGGGAUGGAUUUUGUGGAUUUACCAAUGGGUUCUGGGGAUUUGAGAAUGAAUUUUGUAGAUUCAGAGAAGGAUUUUGUGGGGUGAGGGAUGAAUUUUGUGGAUUGUAAGCAUCUGGGUUAUUUUCAUGAUUGGUACUUUGGAUAAGUGGAGGGGCAGCGGCGGACGAUAUGUUAUUUGGAUGAUCCCCAAGAAUAGACGUACUGAGGGGAGGGAUUUGGAGUGGAGUCUCGUGUCCUCUUGGAGCGGGAGCAUUGAGAGUGAUGGCCAGGUUAGACAAAUCUCGAGUACGAUUUAUUUUCUCCUAAAGCAUUUCUAGCUUUCUUGUGAGUUCCGCAAUCAUCUCACUCUGUUCCGCUAUUACAUUGUCCCUGAUGGUCAAUGUAUUUUCUUCUUCAUUUCCAGUCAUUAUUGAAUGAUGGUUAGAGGAUAGAAUUUUGUGCGCUUUUGAGGUGAAGUAAGGAUGUUCUGCCAGCUUAUUUCAACACGGAGUAGUUUUCUAUUAUCAGUAAAGUAAAAUAACUCAAAGGCAAAUGUGUUAGUUUCCACGUGUGAUAAGCAAUGCAAAAUACUUGACAAGAAAUAGCCACGUAGAGUUGUUUGUGUCAUAGCCAAAUUCAUCUAUAGGAGCAUAGCGGAUAAACUUGUCUUUGAUCCAAACAAAUGCACAUAAACACAUAAGAACAUAAUAAUGUGUAUCCUAACUGGGGUGACCCUUUUGAGCCAAGGGUUUGGGCCUAACAAUUUUUGAAGAAAAAUAUAUGCUUGCUUAAGGUUAAUCCAUUAUUUCCCAACUUUAUAGACACUAAAAGGGCAUAAAUGCCUACAAAAGAUAACAAAAGAGGGAUACAAUCUUUAGGGAAAGGAAAAUAACAUGAAAGAAGACACAUUCCCACACAGGGGAUAGAAAAUACUAACUCCUGGGUGCUUCUUCUGUCAGCCUUCGUCUUCUUAGCUUCGUAUAUUUCUUAUAUUGGUGACAUCCGUUGACGUUCAAACUGUGCCUUAGAUGCAACCUCCCAAAUCGAUUAAUUUCUUGCUUAAAUUGCUUCAAUUCUUAUUACGAAAGUAAGCAAAUCAAGCUUUUUCCCCACCCUAAAGGAUAAUGGAUUGAAUUAGAAAGGCAUACAUUUUCUUCAACACAUAAAUAUGAUUCAUCUAUAAUUGACUCAGGGUCAAUAAACGCAGGGCAGGUUUUCUAUUAGGCCCAAUACCUCGCUCUGGUAUUGGGCCGUCCUAGGCUCAUACUUAAAUAGGGUUUUGGUUUUGUUGUUUCCUAGGUGUCUAGAGUGGGUUUGAACACUGGUUCUCAAGCGGACAACUUUAGUUUGAAAAUACGAACAUCCAUCAAAUGACUCAUGUGCUAAUAAGUCAUUCGUAUUUCCAACACUUUAUUGGAAUUGAACAAUAGGGGCCGGGACAUCCACGAAACCCUAAAACAGUUUAAAUAAUGAAGGAAUAUACCAUGAGAUCCGAUAGUUAAACUUUACAGAAUCGAAAUAUAUGAAAACAUGAAUAGUUAACCAAAGGACGAAAUCAAACAUUUGGUUAGAACCUAGUUACAAAUCCCCAGCAGAGUCGUCAUUUCUGUUUUGCGAAAAUUUUAACUUUUGAAAGAGAGUCACCACUUAAUUUUGAAAAAGAAAUUAAGAAACCUUUGUAAUGUACUUAGACGAUUCAAAAUAGAAAAAUCAUUUAAGUUAAGAGAUUCUAGAUAAGCGGUUCCUAUUAACGUUUUAGGAAGGUGUUAGGCACCUAAAACGUCCGCUAACUUGCAGUUAUCUGGACUGUUUGGAAAUCGUCUUGACUAACUUUGGAAAAUCGAUUUAUUGGAGAAAAGAUUGGUUAGGGAAAAGUUUUUUCAAAAUCAAUUUUUAGCGACUUAGUUAGGGAUUUAACUAGGUUCGCAAGAAGCAUGUAAAAACAAGUACGAAAAAGGAAAAGGGAAAAGGGAAAAGGGGAGAAGUAGUGAAUUAGGCUUUUAAGCCCAAACCGUCAACCUGUCCUAGUCUAGAUGUUGGGCUUUUGGCCCGUCUUCCACUUGUCCUAAUUCUAUGUUUUCGAGCCCUUUUUGGCUCGAGUUUUCACUUCGCCUGUAUUAGAUACAACUUUGGCUUCAAGGCCCAAAUGAAUGACUAAAUUAAUAAACACAUAAAUAAAUAACUGAAAAUAAAUAAAGCAACAAUAAAUAAAUAAAGCAAAAUAAGACUCUUCGACUCUCUUAGUUACUUCAAUAAGGGUGCCUUUGGAUCCAUUUUUUCUUCUUCCAUCUUCUUGCCUUGGUAUGCCUCAUGAUCGACUUUUAGACUUGGUCUCGGAGUUGACUCGAUAGAGAUGAUGGGCCUCAAGAUCCCAUGAUGAAUAUGCAAAAGGGAAAGAGUCCAUGUAGGACUCAAAUGAUUCUUCGAAAAGGACAUAUUAGGAAUUAAUACAUGUUCACAAAAAUGAAUUAUUCGGACAACAAAGAAACAUGAAUCAAACUCAUAUAUAAGAAACAAAUAUGGAGGCCACAAGGACCGGUAAUGAAAGUUUAGACAAAAACCACAACAUACCCCGUAUAUUGCCACCAAGUGGGGUCUGGGGAGGUUAAGAGUAAACAAUCCAUGCCACUACCUCACAUGUGAGAUAGAGAGGUUGUUUCCGAUUAACCCCCGACUCAAACUAGAAAAGGGAAAUUGAUCUUUAAAAUAAUCUGCACAACUGAAUGUUGAUAGAUCUUUCAAGGAUAGUCCACUAAAUGGCUCAAGGUGAAUUAUAAGUAUAGAUAACAAAAAAAAUUCCUUAAUAGGCAUAGAGAAGGAUGAAUACUACUGUUUUAGAACCCAAAUUCCAACUGAUACAUAUACUAACAUGGUACUAAACAGGAUUCUCUUUGAAUGGUCCUUUUAUUUGAGUCGUAAAAUUUCUAACACAAAAGUUCUACUUGAGGUUAAAUGCACCAACAUAAGAGAGUUAUACAAAGCCGCAGUUGAACCUAGAUCUUCCAUAGAAAUGAGUCACAGAACAAGAAAACUAAAGACAAUGAUAGCAGCAAUCUGGAAUUCAAAGCCUCUAGUCUAUAAAGAUAUCCUAAGUCUAGUUUUAACAUGGCUAGUUAGUCAAUUAGAUUAUAAUCACAGAAGAACUUGAAAUUUUCGCAUAUCUAACAAUUGAACAGCACUCAACGAAUCCAAGGUGGCACACAUCAGUGCAUAAAAAAUAAACUGAGAUAUAGUUUCAUGGACAGGUCUAGAAAAAGUCUAAUACUUUAAGGCUUCAACAUAUAAUAUCGAAGUCACGGUAUAUCAAAAACCAAAUUCACUUGUCAAAUCAAAUAGCUAGAUAAUGAAAGACGGAUAACAACUAAGUUAGGAAACAACUUCCAACGGGUGAAAUUCAAAUUGUUUGAUGACCUCAAGCCAACAUGGACUAAACAUAAAGAUGAACUCGAAACAUCAACAGAUUCAACAUAAAAAAAACUAUGGCUUGCCAACGCCAAUCUACAGCAAACAUCCCAGCCUCAAAACAUUAACCAAAGCUACUACUGCUACAAUCAUUACGACACAACAGUAAAUGGAAGAAUCGAGUACUGACCGGUUUUUGGGUAGCAAAACGGGAUAACGAGCUUACGUCGAGAUGCACCUCCAUCGGAAAUUAGCAUUACCAACUCAGGGACCUCCUCCGAUUGACCGACCAA